rnacentral:rRNA from 1 species
GAAUUCAGACAUUCUUGGUCAUUUAGAGGAAGUAAAAGUCGUAACAAGGUCUCCGUAGGUGAACCUGCGGAGGGAUCAUUACAAGUGACCCCGGUCUAACCACCGGGAUGUUCAUAACCCUUUGUUGUCCGACUCUGUUGCCUCCGGGGCGACCCUGCCUUCGGGCGGGGGCUCCGGGUGGACACUUCAAACUCUUGCGUAACUUUGCAGUCUGAGUAAACUUAAUUAAUAAAUUAAAACUUUUAACAACGGAUCUCUUGGUUCUGGCAUCGAUGAAGAACGCAGCGAAAUGCGAUAAGUAAUGUGAAUUGCAGAAUUCAGUGAAUCAUCGAAUCUUUGAACGCACAUUGCGCCCCCUGGUAUUCCGGGGGGCAUGCCUGUUCGAGCGUCAUUUCACCACUCAAGCCUCGCUUGGUAUUGGGCAACGCGGUCCGCCGCGUGCCUCAAAUCGACCGGCUGGGUCUUCUGUCCCCUAAGCGUUGUGGAAACUAUUCGCUAAAGGGUGUUCGGGAGGCUACGCCGUAAAACAACCCCAUUUCUAAGGUUGACCUCGGAUCAGGUAGGGAUACCCGCUGAACUUAAGCAUAUCAAUAAGCGGAGGAAAUGUCU